rnacentral:tRNA from 1 species
GGCUCAGUAGCUCAGUUGGUUAGAGCGCCGGCCUGUCACGCCGGAGGUCGAGGGUUCGAGCCCCUGCUGAGUCG